rnacentral:rRNA from 1 species
UACGUAGGUGGCGAGCGUUUGUCCGGAUUUAUUGGGCGUAAAGCGCGCGCAGGCGGUGCGGUAAGUCUGUCGUGAAAUCUCCCGGCUCAACUGGGAGGGUGCGGUGGAGACUGCCGGACUGGAGGCACUCAGAGGCCGGUGGAAUUCCCGGUGUAGUGGUGAAAUGCGUAGAGAUCGGGAGGAACACCAGUGGCGAAGGCGGCUGGCUGGGGGUGACCUGACGCUGAGGCGCGAAAGCGUGGGGAGCGAACCGG